ensembl:lncRNA
AUCCGAGGAGCCACUAAAUCCAAUCGGAUCAGCCAGGCCAUUCCCAUCUACGGAUUUGGAAUCCUACUCUACAUCCUCUUCAUCAUAUUCUAGAUAAGCUGCACAAUGUCCACCCUAGACUGGCUCAGUCAAUUGGAUAGACAAACUAUUUAGAGGCAGGAAUGUAGAAGAUGUAGACUAUUACAGUUUUUAACAGCAUCCAUGUAAUACCUGUACUGGCUAGGAGUCCAGUGCAUCCAGUACAUUACAAGGUGUGCAUACCAUAAAUGCACUGUUGUAUUCACAGAUGACAACUAGGCCUAAAGGAAAAAGUACUAAACUGCAGAUGAUGAGCUGGCCCAGCUUCAGGAGAAGCUGCUGGAGACAGAGGGUGAAGUAGAGGAUCGUCUCCAGAAGGAGCAGCACUCCUAACAGCACGACUAGCAGCAAGGUUAGAAGAGCAUCCAAGCAGGAGAAGUUACUGCGGAAGCUGAGUAAGAUCAGCCGGGUGAUGCAGGAGGUACGACUGAUGGAGGGGGCCACACCUGAGAUGGUGCCCUACGCUGCUGACUGAGAGGGCUACCCUGAGGAGACCUACCCCCAGUAUAAGGAGCCCGGAGGCAGGCGCAGCGGCAGUUAUGACCCCAUCACCAUCCUGGAGGAGCCUGCUGCUGACUCAGAUACCCACUGCCGAGGCCCUGGCUGAGGAGGUGGUGGAUGAGGAGGUAGAAGAGGUCACAGAGGAGGAGGAGGAGGAGCAGUAGCUCUGCCCGCCCCCACCUCCUGAAGGAGGAAUGGAAGAAACGGGUAGUAGUCCCACCAGAGGUAAAAAGCUCAAUCAGAUUCAGCGACCACAAAGAUGUGUUUCACUACCCUAAGCAGGAUACGGUCUAUGAAUAUAGGUAUGAAGAGGAGAAGGAAGAGGGGCAAGUGGAUGAGACAGAGGAAGAGGGAGUAGUAGGUGAUGAAGACCCACUGAUGGAGGCCGAGUCUCUCAGUUUUAGUUGUGAUGUCUGUAGUAAUCCAGAAGCAGAAGAAGAGAUGGAAGAAGAGUACAUUCUACUGUCUCAGUCUGAAGAGACAGACAGCUUCACCCCACCAGAUAGGUCUGGGGAGCUGGGGAUUCUCUCAGGUUGAGGAACAGGA